rnacentral:rRNA from 1 species
GACGAACGCUGGCGGCGUGCCUAAUACAUGCAAGUCGAACGCUUCUUUUCCCACCGGAGCUUGCUCCACCGGGAAAAGAGGAGUGGCGAACGGGUGAGUAACACGUGGGUAACCUGCCCAUCAGAAGGGGAUAACACUUGGAAACAGGUGCUAAUACCGUAUAACAAUCGAAACCGCAUGGUUUCGUUUUGAAAGGCGCUUUACGGUGCCGCUGAUGGAUGGACCCGCGGUGCAUUAGCUAGUUGGUGAGGUAACGGCUCACCAAGGCCACGAUGCAUAGCCGACCUGAGAGGGUGAUCGGCCACAUUGGGACUGAGACACGGCCCAAACUCCUACGGGAGGCAGCAGUAGGGAAUCUUCGGCAAUGGACGAAAGUCUGACCGAGCAACGCCGCGUGAGUGAAGAAGGUUUUCGGAUCGUAAAACUCUGUUGUUAGAGAAGAACAAGGGUGAGAGUAACUGUUCACCCCUUGACGGUAUCUAACCAGAAAGCCACGGCUAACUACGUGCCAGCAGCCGCGGUAAUACGUAGGUGGCAAGCGUUGUCCGGAUUUAUUGGGCGUAAAGCGAGCGCAGGCGGUUUCUUAAGUCUGAUGUGAAAGCCCCCGGCUCAACCGGGGAGGGUCAUUGGAAACUGGGAGACUUGAGUGCAGAAGAGGAGAGUGGAAUUCCAUGUGUAGCGGUGAAAUGCGUAGAUAUAUGGAGGAACACCAGUGGCGAAGGCGGCUCUCUGGUCUGUAACUGACGCUGAGGCUCGAAAGCGUGGGGAGCAAACAGGAUUAGAUACCCUGGUAGUCCACGCCGUAAACGAUGAGUGCUAAGUGUUGGAGGGUUUCCGCCCUUCAGUGCUGCAGCUAACGCAUUAAGCACUCCGCCUGGGGAGUACGACCGCAAGGUUGAAACUCAAAGGAAUUGACGGGGGCCCGCACAAGCGGUGGAGCAUGUGGUUUAAUUCGAAGCAACGCGAAGAACCUUACCAGGUCUUGACAUCCUUUGACCACUCUAGAGAUAGAGCUUCCCCUUCGGGGGCAAAGUGACAGGUGGUGCAUGGUUGUCGUCAGCUCGUGUCGUGAGAUGUUGGGUUAAGUCCCGCAACGAGCGCAACCCUUAUUGUUAGUUGCCAUCAUUUAGUUGGGCACUCUAGCAAGACUGCCGGUGACAAACCGGAGGAAGGUGGGGAUGACGUCAAAUCAUCAUGCCCCUUAUGACCUGGGCUACACACGUGCUACAAUGGGAAGUACAACGAGUCGCGAAGUCGCGAGGCUAAGCUAAUCUCUUAAAGCUUCUCUCAGUUCGGAUUGUAGGCUGCAACUCGCCUACAUGAAGCCGGAAUCGCUAGUAAUCGCGGAUCAGCACGCCGCGGUGAAUACGUUCCCGGGCCUUGUACACACCGCCCGUCACACCACGAGAGUUUGUAACACCCGAAGUCGGUGAGGUAACCUUUU